UACGUAGGGUGCAAGCGUUGUCCGGAAUUAUUGGGCGUAAAGAGCUUGUAGGCGGUUUGUCGCGUCUGCUGUGAAAUUUCGGGGCUCAACCCCGAACUUGCAGUGGGUACGGGCAGACUAGAGUGUGGUAGGGGAGACUGGAAUUCCUGGUGUAGCGGUGAAAUGCGCAGAUAUCGGGAGGAACACCGGUGGCGAAGGCGGUUCUCUGGGCCUUACCUGACGCUGAGGAGCGAAAUCGUGGGGAGCGAACAGG
rnacentral:rRNA from 1 species